rnacentral:rRNA from 1 species
CGGGUUGUAAAGCACUUUCAGUCGUGAGGAAGGUAGUGUAGUUAAUAGCUGCAUUAUUUGACGUUAGCGACAGAAGAAGCACCGGCUAACUCCGUGCCAGCAGCCGCGGUAAUACGGAGGGUGCGAGCGUUAAUCGGAAUUACUGGGCGUAAAGCGCAUGCAGGUGGUUUGUUAAGUCAGAUGUGAAAGACCCGGGGCGUCAACCUCGGAAUAGCAUUUGUAAACUAGGCAGACUAGAGUACUGUAGAGGGGGGUAGGAAUUUCAGGUGUAGCGGUGAAAUGCGUAGAGAUCUGAAGGAAUACCGGUGGCGAAGGCGGCCCCCUCGGACAGAUACUGACACUCAGAUGCGAAAGCGUGGGGAGCAAACAGGAUUAGAUACCCCUGGUAG